AUGCGGAGCUGCGACAAAAGGGGCGGUGCAACGGAGCAGGAGAAGAUGGCCGAGAAGAUGUUCAAGCACGGCGUGGCGGGCGGAGCAGCAGAGGUUCAGGUGCGGCGCGGCGGGCAGAGCAAGAGAGGUUCAGGGGAGAUGCCAGCGGAGCAGGAGAGUUCAUGGGCGGUGGAGCAGGAGAGGUUCAUGGGCGGUGCCCUUGUCGCCGGACGGCCAUCCUUGCUGUGCUUGACGGAGGAUAGAAGGGGGAACAUUUUCUGGUGGGUACGCCGGCCGCGGGCGCGCUUUGCUGUGAUCUGUCCGCCGCCACCAAUCCUCUCCGGCCUCCUCCGUAUCCUUCUCAAUCUCGGACGAGCUAUUCCCGUGCCGUGA
rnacentral:rRNA from 1 species